UUACGGCCAUAUCAUGUUGAAACACCGGUUUCCGUACGAUCACUUAAGUAACGUCGAGCAUGACCAGUACCAAGAUGGGUGACCGCUUGGGAAUACCAGUUUCUG